ensembl:lncRNA
CUGAAAUAUAGUGUCAAGCACUUGCUAUUUUCUGGUUUUAGUCUCAGAGGAGUCCCUGGAGGUGUCGCUGUGGCAAUGCUCUGUAACAGACCGCCCAGUGCUGGGUGACGUACAACAGGAGCAUGGUUGCUCACUCCGGGUCUGUGGGGGCUUCGGGCAGCCCUGUGUCAGGCUGCAGGUAGAAUUCCACGGGAUCAUCUGUGGACCAUGCAAGUUCUCACAGGGUGACGGUUGGGGAGCUCGGAGCAGAAACGCGCAAUGCUCUUCUGGCCUGGCUCGGACACGGCAUGCUUUCACUGACCUGAGCAAGUCAGCACCCAGCCCAGCAUCCAUGUCCUUGUGUCUAGAGCUGCCGCUGGGGGAAGCUCAGGAGGGAAGCAGCAGCUGCAGGUGACUCGUGACUCCAGCAGAGAUGCAGCCUUGAGGGCGGCAGGUGGGGCCGUCAGCGAGGAAAGGGGGAAUAUGGCUCUAGUCGGGUCUGAAAGGCUGUGUUAGGCCUUCUCGAAGCUCUGAGACAGAAGGAACCAUCUAGACUAGCAAACCCAGGGCUCUGGGACAGGGUGGGAGUCCCAGAAAAACUGGACCCCUGAACGGAGAAGCAGGUGCAACCUUAGGAUUCACCUGCCGGCCCGGCCAGGAAGCAGAGCAGGUGAGGCGAACGGCUAUGCAGGUGCAGGUCACAGAGCAGCCUCCAGAAUCCACGCACAGACAAACACACAAGGUUCGGUGUGCACGUCAGGUAGGAUUUUCUACUGGUUUUAUUUCUUAAAAUAAUUGUGGAAAGAAAGAGUGCCCUGUAUUCAGAUAUUUCCAGGAGUUCUGGGAAAGAGGGGGGUGAACAUGCUCUUGGCAAGAUCAUGGAAGUGACUAGACCCUUCUGAUCUCUGAAAGUGCUCUUGGCUGGACCGCCACUCGGCCGGAGCACCGAGUGGGCUGCUGGGUUAGGCCGAGAGGUGCCAACUGAGAUGCCCCAGGGCGAGGCAGGAGCCUAAGCGGGGUAGGGUAGCUGUGAGUGGAAGCUCAGGCCUGAUCUUGAGGAUUAGAACUCGAGACCCCUGCAGACCAAGCAGACCUCAAGAGCGUCGGCAGUGGCGUCUGGACAAGCGCUGCCUCCCAGGACUCUGAACAACAAGGUGAUCCUCCGGCAAUGUUGGGCCCCUGGCCAAAUGACCCCAGAGCAUCAGCAUGCGGUGACUAGACACAGCUUUUCCCAACCCAGCAGGGAGCCCUGAGGUCAAAGUCUAAACACGCUGGGCCACACGCAGUGCUCUUUGUGGCUGGUCCAGUGUCUUCUGGCUGCCCUCCUCUGUGUGGGCGCUGGUGUGUACACACAUGGGUGCCUGUGUGUGUCACUUACAGACUGUGAAAGAGCACAGACUUUGGGUCAGACAGACCUGGGCUUGGCUUCUGCCUUGGAAUCCUGGCCCCACCACUUGUUAGCCAUAUGAUUUUGGGCCAAAUAGCCUCUCCAACCUCAAAGGAUUCACCAGCACACGCCUGUCCAGGCGCAGAGAGAAUCUCAGAAUUUCCCUAGGGAACUGGGAGGACACUGUUGGGUCUCCAAGAUGCCCCAAGAGGUGGCACUCUCCUCUCUAUCCAGGUUUUAAAUGAGAUGAGAUGCCCCCUGGGUCCCUGAGGCCACGGAGGGCUUCACACCAGCUCCAGGACGCCUUCCUGCCGGCACCUCCAGCCGCGGUUACCUCCAAGCUCCUCAGUUACAGGUGGUGGGACUCAGCUCCUGCCCCAGGAACCCUCAUUUCUGGAGGGACCCUACAGAACAAAUGACACAAAAGAAGUAAAAUGCCAGACAAGCUGACUGUUCAGGACUCGCCAGCUUCCCCAGUGCCACCCAGGAAGAUGUAUGGAGUCGGUACCCAGCAGGAGGGCGCUGGAGGGCGGCAUGUAGACUGUCCAGGCACGCUGAGCUCACCAGUAACGCCCUGCUCCUUGUGCACCACGAGCUCCCCACUGCACACCUGGUCACCUAUUCCAGCCUCACACCUGGGACAAACCCUGGCCCAGGUGACCCGCAGGGCUGGGCUCUCAGCUCACCUCUAGCAUUUUCUCUUUCUUUGGCCGCACCACCGACUUUGUUUCAAACCUCAGCUACAGUUGGGGGCUGACUUGUGAGACCCUGCCCGACAGAAGGGUGGGUACGAGGUGAAUCUGAGGCUCUUGACAUUCCUGCCAGCUGUGCUGGAGUGUCCCAGAGCACCCAGGAGGUGUCUGGUCGCCACACCAGCCUCCCCUGAACCCUUCUGGAUGGAAUGAGGGGCCAAAGAGAAUUGUUCUGUGCCUUUUUUUGCCAUCCUAGGCACCUGGCCGUUGAUCAGCAAGAUGGAUUUGCUCAGCUCCUGGCUGCGUUAAGGAGAAGGAGAAAGGAAAGUGAGGGCCAGGUGCUGAGGCUGAGCCGGGGGAGGACCUGCCUCCACACGGCACCUUGCUGUUGAGGCUGCCUCUUCUGCUCGCUGGCUGGUGAAGACUAGAGAGGACCUGGCUCCCCAGAGACGGCCCCAAUCAUCCUCACCGGGGAUCUCGGAAUUUAUUCAGACGCGAUCAUUUGAGAAGAGAAAAGAAAAAACAAAACAGUUAAGCUGAAACAAUUGGAAGGUGAAAGAAAAAACCCAAAGCCGAAUCUCUACUUUUCUUUUUCUCGGGUUGUCAACAUGGGUCUUUUCCCUACCACCUAUUGAAAAACCAUGAGAAAGACUUCUCUAAAUUAUGAGGCUCUGUGGCCAAACCCACAUGUUAUUUAACAUAUGAAGCACCACGUGGAGUCAGUCCCCGUGGUGUGCGUGUCACGACCAUAAUUAACAUUUGCAUCACGCCUGACAACGUUCAAGGACUUUUGCAUAGAUUUUCCUUCAAUUCCGUAAUAACAUUUGCAGUAAAGGUGGUUGAAAUGAUCAUUUACCUUUUUUAAACCAGGAAACUGAGGGGGCUCGUGACUUGUCAAGGCCACUUCAAGGAACAUCAAGACAUCUGGGGAGACACUGAAUUCUUACAGAAAUAACCCAUGGAGAGAAAAGGCACAAUUAGGAUGUGGUUGGGUGAAUGGAGGGCUCUACACCGUCCACAAGGACUGCAUGGAAGAUAAACUCCAGGGCAAGAGGCAUGGGGUCAACCACUGUCAUUCACUGGGGCUCCGCCCGAGCUGGGCCUGGGCUCGACCGCUGUCAUCGCCCUGUGAGUGAGGCACUGAGUCCCUGUUUUGGAAGAGAUCAUCAAGGAUCAGAGAAGUUAAGGAGCUUGUCCAAUGUCACACAGCUACUGCCUGUUCAUGCCAAGGCCCUGUGCUUUCCCCCAGGCCCCUCUCUCAAGGGCCAGAGUGUGAGUGAGGGUCACAGCCCAGCUCGAUAAGUUUGUAAAGCUUUGGAACCGAGGGCCUUCGGGUUCCCCUUGCCCCUUCAUCUUUGUCCUAUUUUCCUGGCUGGCGGGUUGGGAAGCGGAUCCCUGAACUCCCUGAUCUCCUGCCCACAUCUUGGGCCUGAAUUGCCAAAGAGCAUCGGCAUUUGGUCAAGCCGUCUCUAUCGGCAGGAGGUGGUCAUCCCAUCAGCCCCCUCUGAGCCCCUCCAGAGAGAACGCAGCACCACAGGCAGUCUCCUUCUGUGUCUGCUCUGGGGUCUUCUUGCAGGCGGGAGCAGCACAGGAAGAAAGAAAAGAGGAAGCAGCUUCAUAGUUAAGGUUUCUAUUCAUAACAAAGUUCUCCCCAAAAGAAGGAAGGGGGAACUGGAUAGCUCUGGGAACCAGCAACACGAUAGGGAACUUUUUCACCUGUAUAGACCACCUGUUUGAAUCUGGCUCGCCAGGCACAGGGACCAAAGGCUGCUGCCGCCUAACAGCUGCUGGGUCGGGAUAUGAAACAAGUGGUGGUCUCGUUCUAGUCAGGGGGACAGCUGUGUCCUGGUCACAGCCCUCUCUCUCGGACAGCACCUCUGCUGACGGAAUCAGUCCAGGGACCCACGUCCAGGCGGACACCUUCCCGCUCGCUGAUUCUUCCAUUUAUUUGUUGCAUGAGCAGUUAUUGAGCACCUGUGAGCAAAGUACUGAGCUGGGCACCACGGGGGUGGGUGAGACAGGGUCAGUCUCUGCCCAGAAGGAUUUGGCCUCCUCAGCCCAGGACUGGGGCUGCAGGACUCAUGGAGAGCCCCCGAUGCACUCAGUGCCACCCAUGUGGGAACUGGCCCAGCGUGGGGGCCCACUGUCCCCUCCCACCUGUGGAGCGGAGGCCAGCCCAGGCCCAGGAGCACAGCAGGGGUGCGUUGACAGCUGACGCCUGUGGCGCACGACCCCUAGACGCUUUGUGUACAUUGGCCUUAUCCAUGACUGAAGAUGGACAUAUUUGAAAGCUCUGUUGAUGUGACUUUCAAAGCACCAAGACUAUCUUUGAUGAGCCAACAUAUAAGAGUAAGUCGUGUAGCCAUAAGUCAGGCCUUAGAAAAAGUGUGAGAAGCAACCAGCCUUGUGCACAUGUUUUCCACGUUGGCCAAUUUUGAAUAGAAGAUCGUCUAGAAAAGGGAAAAUUUUCUAUUGACAACCCUCUCACUAGUUUAUGGCACAUGCCAGCUACUAUUGGGACACUUCAUGUAGACAAAAAUCGAAUUGUUCCUGAAGUGGUAUUUUUAUAGGAUGUGGGCUACAGGGCCCAGGUGGAACACAGUCACCUGCAAUUUUCUCAUUCUGGGAAAACAGCUUAAAGAUUGAGCCUGAAGCAUCUACACACACCCGGGCUGCAGGUAUCCACGGCCCCAGCUCUCAGACGUUACUGCAAACUUUGAAAUUAACAGAAAGGACUAAUAGUGCAUCAUCGAAGAGUUUCUGUAAAUUAUUGUCCCACGACGGAGGCUAAACCACAGAAGUUGUUGAAUCAAGUGUCAAAUUAUUUACCCCACAAGCGUUUCUUGAGCACUGAGUGUUUGCAUGCUGUCACGAGGGCAGCCGCCAGCCGCAUGAUCUGGGCCCUGUUUCAGAUUCUUAUGAGUGAACGUCCUCAUUUCACAUAGACCAGGGGCUGCAGCUACCGCCCACAGGGCCAAGUGAAGGGGAAAAGUCCAGGAAAACCGGCUGCUAAGGAAGUCCAGCUACUGGAUGAAGUUUUCAUGGGUCAGCGCAGCCACGGCGUCGACAGCCGUUCCCUCUUCUCUGUCUUUAUCCUUCGAGUUCUGGCUCCUUCUGGCAAAGUGGUAUUGGUCAGCCCCUGAACUCCAACGCCAGCUCGCAGCUCUAGGCCUGGCCGGACGGGCAUUUCAGGGAAGCAGAGGGGGGCGGGGAGGACAGUGCCUUCUGGGGCCUCUGGAGACCCCGGGUCAGUUGUGGACAGCAGGAUUAGAGGCCUCAACCAAGGACCUGUGAAAAAAGGGCCCCUGGAAUGCAAAUUCCACAAAACCGCCUUAUGUCCUGUAGGAGGGUGACCCCUUUUAUCCUGUUACUCCUGGAGGCCACCUUUUGAAAGUUCAAACUCACCCACUUUUGCAGGCGAGGCUCCCAACUUGGUCCUCCUCCACGCCUUGGCUCCCAGCCCCAAGCAGGUGUGAAUUCCUGUCCUCGGGUGGCAGGGGGACUGAGCAGGAGACAGGGAGGGGCCCGCUGCUUUGAUCUCAGACACUCUUCAGGGUCACUUGUGAGCUGAGGGGGAAAAGGUGGAGAGGGCCAUUUCUCAGCCAAGUGUUGAUGGCUGAGUUCCAUUGAACCUUCAGUUCAUAGAGGCAGAGAGGGAGCCCGCCCCGAGCACAGAGGGGCUGCAGGGGCUGGGUAUAAAUGGGGUGGGGGCCAUUUGAUGCUUGUAUAUUCGCCUAGUCCAGCUUUGAUUUCCAACCUUUCAUGGGCUCCAAUGAACAGAUUUAGGGCUCUGUGAGGGGAGGAACCUCAAAACCUCAUUCGGUCCAGGGUCCAGCCCUCUGCCCCCAGGCAGGACCUCACCCAGAAGCAUCUAGGACAGAGGGCAGCCCUGGGAGGGGAGGCCAGCUGAGGAGGGGCAGCCCCGCUUGGCUGAGUGGCAGGGCUGGAGACCCUCCAGUGACCCAGCCUCACGUGGAGGGGAGUGUGCGCUGGCCCUUCUGUGUGCAGCCUGGGCCAUGUGGGGUCUGCGCGACCCCUGUACUGGUGACAGACACGCCUGGAAGGCAGGCUGAUGUGGCCAGCGUGACAACUACUUUGGGCCUGUAAGCAGAACUAUGGGAGGUCUUCUCGCCUCUCAUAGGUUUAAAAAUAAAUGAUCUACUGUUGAAAAAGGGCCCCUUUUCCCUUAUUCCCUGAAACCUUGUUCCAAGAGGCCGCCCGGGAGGCGCGCCCCCAGGGCCUUGCUGAGGAUCCUUGGGACCUCCCCCUUACGCCCCUGCCUGCUCUCACUCCAUCCCCCCAGGCUGAAUCUUAACUCGAUUCCACUUCUAUAAAAAUCUGGCAUGCGGGGGGAAAUAAUGUUUGAUUGGUAGCUAGCCCAGCCCCCUCCUCCCUCACAAGGGACCCUCUUCCAGGAGCAAGUCUGAGCUCCAGUUGGGCCAGGGGAGGUGGGGGGCUGGGGGUUGCCAAUAUGUGUACCCCUCUAGGUCAGGCUGGCUGCCAAGGGCCUUGGUCACUGGGAGCUGAGUUUCUCCUUCAAUCAGAGAAAACCCGUAUGCAGAGGUGGUGAGAUAAUGACACACUUCACGUCCCCAUCGGAAGCCAGGGAGAGCCACGUCUGUGAUCCCAAGUAACAUUUUGCAAAGCUAGUCUCUUCUUCCCGCCCCGUUCCUUUCCAGCCUUCCUCGUAAGAUGAACCAGCUGACAGUGCACGGGGCCCCCUCUGCCUGUGGGCUGACGGUGCACGGGCCAGACUCCCAUCUUCCUUCUCUGGCCCCAUAAGCUGGACCCCAGUACUGCCACCGACUCCAAGCAGUGAGGGGCUCUGUCAGAUCGGGGAACAGGCUUCAGCGGCAGAUGGGAGAGGAGGGUCCGUGCCCGGUGGUGAUGCUUUGCCUCGCUCACUGUCUGCAGGUGCUGGGCCUGAGCUGCCGUCCCUCGUGGGCAUCUUUGAGGAGACCUGUGUCUUCGCCCCACUCCUCAGGCCCAGUGCUGCACAGGUGGCCCCAGAGCUUCCCCUGAGCAGGUGCACAGCAGAGGCCUGUGGAUGGUGCUGAACCUGCCAGCUUUGUUUUGUUUAUAUUACUUAUUUGACACUCAAAAUAUACAUAAGGAGAUCAAACCUGUCUGCAUCACACAAGCCGGGUUGUGGUCCAUGGCUGUGGAGGCCCAACCGAGGCCGGGACGUGGAGGCUGUGGAAGGACGCAGCUGAGGGGCCGGGUCGGGAUCUACAGCCUGAAACCUGGGCUCUGCUUGGAGCUGUGCAUGGCCCUCUGCUUGUGUUCAGUGCUGACAACCAACCUGAUGGAUUCACUGAUUCUGCCCUCCUCAGGGGGCAGUGUGCAUGUGUGCACGUGUGUGGGCAUGAGUGUGCACGUGUGUGAUGGUGUGGGUGUGAGAGUGCAUGUGUGUGUGGUGGUGUGGGUGUGAGUGUGCACAUGUGAUGGUGUGGGCGUGAGAGUGCAUGUGUGUGGUGGUGUGGGUGUGAGUGUGCACAUGUGAUGGUGUGGGCGUGAGAGUGCAUGUGUGUGGUGGUGUGGGUGUGAGUGUGCACAUGUGAUGGUGUGGGCGUGAGAGUGCAUGUGUGUGGUGGUGUGGGUGUGAGUGUGCACAUGUGAUGGUGUGGGUGUGAGUGUGCACGUGUGUGAUGGUGUGGGUCUGAGUGUGCACAUGUGAUGGUGUGGGUGUGAGAGUGCAUGUGUGUGGUGGUGUGGGUGUGAGUGUGCACAUGUGAUGUGUGGGUGUGAGAGUGCAUGUGUGUGGUGGUGUGGGUGUGAGUGUGCACAUG